GAUAUAAAAAUAAGUCAGACCCUGAGAUUUCUCAGAGGGAACCUGGACAUUGCUUGUGGAGGUUCUUUCUCAUCGCCGGCCCAGGACAACUCCCCUUCCUACUCUACAUCGACUGCAGCUGGUCUGCGGCACAUGAUUUCACUUACAUGCAGUACUUGGAGGUCCACAUCUCCUUCUGCCAACUCUACAGAAGCAUUGUGGGGCAGUGUGAAGAUCAAAGGAAGUCCAAGAGAUCUGCCCACUAACUCCCUUGUGAUUGACAUUUAAAAUUGUUCAAAAGAUUCAAAUAGAGCUCUUCAAAUGUAACUGACUGAGGACAAAGAAAUAAAGAAAGCACAGUCAGAAAUGUGCCGUUACCAUUCCAGGGCACUGGAAAUGAUGGACUUACUGAAGAGGGAAGACCCACCCUGAGUGUGGAUGGCUUGCAGCCUAAAUGGAAUGAAAAGGGAAUUCAAAAGGAAAUUGCACUGCUUCCUGCCUGCCAUACAUGGACUAUUUCUCCCCUGCCAUUCCCCUCUGCUAUGCUGCCCUGCCUUGGAACCAGCUGAUGA